AUGAGGGCCUUAUUCUGGAAUAUUAGAGGGUUCGGUGCUAGGGGGCGCCGUGACCAACUGAAAGAUUUGGUCCGUUCUAAUUCUAUUGACUUUGUGGGGCUGGUUGAAACAUUUAAGGAUUCCUUUUCCCCCAGUGAGCUUUCUGCUAUCGUGGGUAUGGAUAGAUUUCAUUGGCAAUCUGUACCGGCUUAGGGCCACUCUGGAGGGAUUCUGAUCGGUUCUAAUAAGGACAUUUUUGACUUUGUUGCUUUUGAUCAUGGGUUUUAUUGGGCUAGUGUGGUUCUCUCGCACAGAUCUAUGAAUACCCUCUAUGAAUUUAUAGUUGUUUAUGGGCCCGCGGAUCACUCCUUUUCGCAUCUUUUCCUUGAUGAACUUUCGAUCAAGAUUGAGUCCUGUACUCUUUCGAUGGUUAUUGGGGGAGACUUAAUCUUCUGCGAUGCCCUCUUGACAAGAAUAAUGAUAAUUUUUCCUGGUCUUUAG
rnacentral:rRNA from 1 species